rnacentral:rRNA from 1 species
UACGUAGGGUGCAAGCGUUGUCCGGAAUUCUUGGGCGUAAAGAGCUCGUAGGCGGUUUGUCGCGUCUGCUGUGAAAUCCCAGGGCUUAACCCUGGGCCUGCAGUGGGUACGGGCAAACUAGAGUGCGGUAGGGGAGACUGGAAUUCCUGGUGUAGCGGUGAAAUGCGCAGAUAUCAGGAGGAACACCGAUGGCGAAGGCAGGUCUCUGGGCAUUAACUGACGCUGAGGAGCGAAAGCAUGGGGAGCGAACAGG